CCGCGCACCGCCACCCGCCCGCCGUGAGGGGACGGGGGGGGGGGGGGGCAAGGAAGGGGAGGGCGGAGUGAGGCGGGGCGGCUCCAGCGCUGCGCUGGGGGCAGCCGGUGACGCUGCCGAGAUGCAAAGACGCCCUCCCCUGUCGCCUGUGCGUGCUAGGUUUGGAACGCUCCGGUUCUGGAGGUGUAGCGUUGUGCUUGCGCAGCCACUGGCUCUCCGUAAGGGGCCGCCCUCCGGGCCGGGCCCGAGUCUGCCGCGCCUCAGUCGGAAACCUGAAGUUUUGCCUUCUGAUUCUGAACCAGCCUUUCAACAAAGGUCAUUUUCAUUGUCUGUGGAGCAGAGCUUCUUGCCUGACUACAUCAGUGGUGAUUUUGAUUCCAUUCAGCCUGAAGUCAAGGAGUACUACAAGGUCAAGGGAUGUGAAUUAAUUGAGACGAUGGAUCAGGACCUCACAGAUUUCACCAAGUGCCUUCAGAUACUCCAAAAAAAGAUAGAGAACAAGGGUCUCCAGAUCGAUGUGAUUGUGACUUUGGGUGGACUUGGAGGACGCUUUGACCAAAUAAUGGCAUCAGUGGAAACGCUUUUUCAUGCAACAAAAAUCACGCCUUUGCCAGUGGUAGUUAUCCAGGAGUGCUCACUGAUUUACCUGCUUCAACCGGGCAAGCACAAGCUGCAUGUGGACACGGGACUGGAAGGCGACUGGUGUGGCCUCAUCCCCAUUGGGAACCCCUGCGAGAGUGUGACCACGACAGGCCUCAAGUGGAACCUCAGCAGGGAGUUAAAUUGCUGAAAAAUGCUACCAUUCAAAAGAGUGCCACUGUCAUCACUUCAAAAGGCAAUAGCAAUAACAAUGGGAGCAAGACCUUUCUCUAGCAACAGAUCAUCCACUGACUACUAGCUUCACAGAAUCAGCCAUAAUAAAUGUAAAUGUCACCCUGCUGAGAGAUUUCCCAAAACAAGAAACCUCUCUGAAGCAUGUGGUGAGUUAUUGCCAGCUCCAGUGUCUGCAGGACCACAAAAGGGCAUAGACCAGUGGGAGGACAAAUCCAGUCUGGCUCAAAUCUUCCAGAGUUA